rnacentral:rRNA from 1 species
UGUUGCUAUCUUAGUGGCGGACGGGUGAGUAACGCGUGGGUAACCUGCCUUACACUGGGGGAUAACACUUAGAAAUAGGUGCUAAUACCGCAUAACAGGAGAAGAUGCAUGUCUUUUCCUUAAAAACUCCGGUGGUGUAAGAUGGACCCGCGUCUGAUUAGCUUGUUGGCGGGGUAACGGCCCACCAAGGCGACGAUCAGUAGCCGGCCUGAGAGGGUGAACGGCCACAUUGGGACUGAGACACGGCCCAAACUCCUACGGGAGGCAGCAG